GGGGUGAGGGCUGCGUGUUUAAUGGUUUGUCUGCAUGGUGAUAAUUUAGACGCGGCGGCUCAACGGGGGGACGUGCCCUGCCAUUCAUCUUCAUUUUAAUUGGGAACAUUUUGUGUUUGGUGUUUCUCAGCAUUAAUAAACCAAAAGCCCUGAGCUGUUUUGGUUAAAUCUAAUUAAUGGCCUCAAAACAGGAUGGAUUUGGCAGCGUCUUAUCAGCAAACAAAGUCUGCGCCACAGUGACAUCAUGGCUGCCCAUGCAGCUAAUGCCACCAGCAUCUCUCCAAAGUCUGAGUCUAAAGCUACCUGAACUCCAGCAGCUCGGCCACAGUAUGCUACAUAUUUUAUUAACCUGGAAGUGGACAUCAAUUUUCGGAAUCAGUUCAGAUUGUCCGCGCUGCAUCUUAAAGCAUACCAUAUGACGCCAGCACCUUGACGAGAAUGGUUCUCUUGACAUCCUCGAAGACCUUGCGGAUGUUGUCGGUGUCGGUGGCACAGGAUGUCCAUCUUGUUUAGGAAGAGGAUGAUGGAGGAGCUGGCGAACCAUGGCGAGUGGAUGGUGGUGUAGAAGAGCGACAAGCUCUCUUUCAUGCGGUUCUGGAGCCGGGGAGAGCAAGCAUUCACAGCAGAGGUUAAUUAAAUGAGAGAGACAAGAGAUUACGCAAUUUAUCAGUGCUGCAUGGGAAGAGAACAGGAAUGAGCGCUUCAGGGAAGCACCUGGUCGUACUCGCUGAGAGAGGCUAAAAAUAUGAGCGACGUCACAUUCUCAAAGCAAUGGAUCCAUUUCCUCCUCUCGGACUUCUGGCCACCCACAUCCACAAUCCUUCAGGGAAAAUAACCCAAAAAAGUGGUUUGUAGAACUGAGAACUCGAUCGGGGAAGCAGGAGGAGAGAACGAGAAGGACAUGCAGAACUGUGUAAAGGAGUGAUUAGGUAACAAUUAACAAGAACACGCUGAUCUACUUCACAGGAAAUGUGCUCCACAAUAAUCAGCACUGCCUUAAUUCAAGCGGGAUUCAAUGUGAGCAUUCACCACAUUAAGACAAAAGUUCACAUUAUUCUUCUUAUAACGACUGAAAAGUGAAAAUGUGUUAAUAAUAUAUGACUAAAAUAAAAGCAAGCAAACUCAUUCAUAUUUAAUGCAACCGAAUGGUUUGCUGCAGUACUGACUUGUUUGGGCUUGUCUAAAGAUACAGCUGUAUUGCCCUCCAAUGGUGCUACGCAGAUCUGCACAAACCAAUUUUGGGUCUUGAUCAUAAACAUUCUAUUUAUAAACAUUUGAAC